GCCUCCGAAUGGGUUAUUAGCUGCAUUUAGGGUUGCACUGCCCACGUGUGGUCCCAGGCGCAACAGGCUUGAAAGGAGCUGGACCUGGGCCACAUCAGAGGUGGGGCUGGAGGUUGGCAACCCCAGGGUGGGACCUCCCUCCCCCAGUGGAAUCUUGACUCUCAAGACUUAAGAGCUGGGAGGCACCUCAGAAGCUCAGCCAGCAUAUGUCAGUGCACAAAAGAGGUUCAUGAAAGGAAACAGCUGCACCGAUACCAGCAGGAGUUGCUGCAGCUACAGAUUUGAGGCGUGCACCUGCAUGGGGUUGGGUGACAAGGGAUUUGUCAGGGAAGGGAGUAUCAUGGAAUACCAGGACUCUAAAGCCAGAGGGAUGGAUGGCUCCAGGGUGGCAAAUUGGAUACCCCACUGCUCACCUGGAGGUCAUGGGAUCACACCUGACUUGAAUUAGUCAAAAGGAUUCCAGGAUGAGGGUUAGUUGGUCGUUUAUGAAUGAAAUGAUUAGCUGGAUGUAACAGUUCCUAAUAAACAGAUUGUCCAUAUCAA